rnacentral:lncRNA from 1 species
CGUGUGCAAUGUUGUAAUAGAGGUACAAGCAACACAGGGAUAGGGAGAAGGUGAUCCACAUUGCAGGGGCCUAAUUACAGGGGGCCCUGAAUGCCAAGCCAAGACUUGGAAAAUUAGAAGGUCUACAAGGACUCCAGAACUCUCCAGGAGUGAUGAAAGAUGGUGUCUUAGCCUGGGUUUCUGCAACAAGCAGAGCCUAGCACAACAUGGUGGUUUACUUUGAAAAGUGAUCCCAAGAAACAGGAGUGAGAGGCUCGGAAGAGUCAAACGGAAAGAGGACAAGCCAACCAAGGCUGUGCCUGGGUGCAUCACGAUUCACCUAAAAAUCACCACUGAAAUCCGCAGCAGGCAAUUGUGCCAGACAACAGGUGAUGACGGGGGCAAACACGACUCAGCUUCUGCCUGCAGCAUCUACAGUCAUGGAAGGAGACCUCCGUGAAAGUGUGGUGUUUGCUGUGAGAGGGAGCAGACGCUCACUGCCAUAGAUCUCAGAGACCACCAAGGCUGAAUAAGCUGAACAACGCAUGCGGAAAGUCCACAGGCCUGCACACCAAUGGCCACAGCCUGUUCUCUCCCUGCAGGUAGGACACUCAUGCGGUACCACCCUUCCUGAGGACACCUUCCUUCCAUUGCCUGGACAGCAGCAUCCUGCCCUGGGCCACCCUCCAUGUGGAUGCCCUUCCCACUUCCCCAGGGCACUGACUCCAAGCGCAAGGUGCCCUUGCAAUAGACACUCUCCUCACCCCUCUAGUUCUGCCAUCCUGCCCUGGGCCACCUUCUGUGUAGACCCCUCCUCACCCCACUGAGGGUCUGAGUCUCCGUGCCAGGACAUCCUCCCUGGACAGGACCCCCUUCGGACCCUGCUUUGGUCUCCGACACAUGCUGGGCUGCCCCCUCCUAUGUUGGCACCCUCCUCGCUCCACAUGGGCAACCUCACACUGGACCACCGCCCUUGUGUGAGCCUCUAUCUCACCCCGGUGGACUCCACCCUCCUGCUCUGGGCACGCUACUUCCUCCCCACUCAGCUACAGAGGCCUGCCUUGCUCUACCUUACCUAAUGGCUUCUGAACAGAAUUUUCUAGAAGGGAGAGGAAGAAGCAUCGAGCUGGUUCUCUUGGCCUGUUCCUGGAUCCCAUCCUUCUCCUUUGUUCCCGGCUCCUCCAUUCUCUAGGAAUCUCAAUCUCUUCCGGCAUUGCUGAGUUCUCAAGCUCUCUACUUUCCACUGAGCCUGUGAGUCCAGCAGGGACUGGGGUUGGGAUGCAGUUUUCAGAGACCUGUGACUACACCUUUGUUACUGGAUAGACUCCUCAGCCCUGGAUCAGCCACAGCCCUCUCCCAGGAAGCCCCUCAACUCUCUGCUAUUACCCUUCUCCAAGGCCUGAAAACAGGACUCUCUCUUCGAGAAGAUCACAGACCCUUGAGAAGAUACAGAAAUUCUCUGCUCGGCCCAAGUCAAAAUAAAAUGACUGAAUAGGCCAGGGCAGCACAGACGAGAGAGGAGUUUUCUCUGGGGCAGUGGUUCUCCAAGUGUAGUCACUGAGCAAGCAGCAGCAGAGUCAGCUGGGAACUUGUGGGACAUACAGAUCCUGGAGCCCCACCCAGACUACUGAAGCAGAACCUCCUGGGGUGGCGCUGGCAAUCUGUGUUUUAAUAAGCCCUCCUCAUUCUGAUGUCCUCUAAAGUGUGAGAACCACAGCUCCAGAAUACUGCAGGGCAGUGACGGGUGGAGGAGAAGGAGUAGGGCUGACUUCUCAGAAGAGUCCCGAAGACCUUGUCCUUGAGUCUGCAGAGAAGUUCACCAGGCAGACAAAGAAAGAAAGAGCAAGCCCAGGCAUACCCACAAGUACCAUCUGAGCUCUGCAUACCUUCUGAUAUAUGUUUAAUAAUCUUGGAAUAACAAUUGUAUUGAUAUUAUGUUGUUUAGAGUAAGUGGCAAUGUAUUCUUUGAAGAGUUAAAACUGUUUUCUGUGUUUAGAAAAGUUCUCACUUGAACUUAAUUUUGUGUUCUAAAUUUAACUAAGGAUUAUUUUUAUACAAACUUUUGAAAGCUUACUAAAUUUAUCUGAUUAACUUGUUAACAGUAGGUAGUUAGGCAGACAUAAGCAGGGCAGACCCCCACCCCCACCCCAGGAACGUCAGACAACCAUCAGGUGAUGGUCAGGAAGUUGUUCCACUGCUCCCUAAAAUAAUAACUGAUCGCACCCAGCACCAGGGAAAGGCAGUCUCCCAAUAGAUAGAAAACACCUGGCCGGG